rnacentral:lncRNA from 1 species
UUAAAGUAGCAUAAUACUUUGAUUAGUAGUUAUGUUUUACUUAUCGAAUAUUAAAGAAAAAAAAAGAAAAAAGAAAAAAUGAAUUACUAUUUAUUAAGUAAUAUAAUUCGUGAAGUUAAUUAAAAAAUCUAAUACUAAUGAUUCACUAAAUAAAUAAUAAUUAAAAUGUAAUUACUAAUUUAACUAAUUAAAAAGGCAAAUAUAUUAUUUAAUUACUAAAAAUAAAAUUUUAAAAAAUU